rnacentral:rRNA from 1 species
AUACGUAGGGGGCGAGCGUUGUCCGGAAUGAUUGGGCGUAAAGGGCGCGUAGGCGGCCCGGUAAGUCUGGAGUGAAAGUCCUGCUUUUAAGGUGGGAAUUGCUUUGGAUACUGUCGGGCUUGAGUGCAGGAGAGGUAAGUGGAAUUCCCAGUGUAGCGGUGAAAUGCGUAGAGAUUGGGAGGAACACCAGUGGCGAAGGCGACUUACUGGACUGUAACUGACGCUGAGGCGCGAAAGAGUGGGGAGCAAACAGGAUUAGAUACCCUGGUAGUCCACACUGUAAACGAUGAAUGCUAGGUGUAGGGGGUAUCGACCCCUUCUGUGCCGCAGUUAACACAAUAAGCAUUCCGCCUGGGGAGUACGGCCGCAAGGUUGAAACUCAAAUGAAUUGACGGGG